rnacentral:lncRNA from 1 species
CGGAAAGAUAUUGAGUCAGUGUUAAUUAAGACAGCAAGUAAUAAGUAUGUUUCUGUCGACGAAGAUUUGUGUCUUUUAUCUCUCGUUGCCAUUGCUGAUUCUGUUGACUCGGGCAGCAUACUGCCCCUGUCCUAUUCCGCCGUGCCCUUGUCACUUCGGACCGCCGUACAGAAGGUAGGAGAGCAGUCAGUAAGACAUGGCAAACCCAGAGAUGUCAACGGGAAUUAUGGCACAAACAAGAUGUCACUGGAAUGGUUUCAGUCCAUGAUGCCGAUAAUAAAUUUAGAGGGAAA